UACGGGGGGGGCAAGCGUUGUUCGGAAUUACUGGGCGUAAAGGGCUCGUAGGUGGCCAACUAAGUCAUACGUGAAAUCCCUCAGCUUAACUGGGGAACUGCGCCUGAUACUGGUUGGCUUGAGUUUGGGAGAGGGACGCGGAAUUCCAGGUGUAGCGGUGAAAUGCGUAGAUAUCUGGAGGAACACCGGUGGCGAAGGCGGCGUUCUGGACUGUUUCUGACACUGAAAAACGAAAGCCAGGGGAGCAAACGGG
rnacentral:rRNA from 1 species